AUGGCCUCGAUGAUACUGCUCGGCGCCGUUAUAAUCCUGUUGAACCUCGCAUCUAUGUCAUUGGCGCAACCUAAGCACAGAUGCAGAACACAUUGCGGUGACAUUGAGAUUCCCUACCCAUGUGGCAUUGCUAUUGGUUGUGCCAUCGAACAAAGGUUCGAGGUCAACUGCAGCAGGACUGUUGAUGGAAUUGAGAGGCCAUUCAUUCAUGAACAGGAGGUUCUAAACAUCUCAGCAUCCCGCGGUCAAUCCAGAGUUUUAAUGACCAUCCCAUCAUAUUGCUACAAUUCUAGUACAGCAAAAAUGGAUUUGCGCCCUUGGGAUUUUUACUUAGCAUGGCCAUAUCGGUUCUCGGACGUGCAGAACAAGUUCAUAAGCAUUGGUUGCAACUCAAUGGGAUACAUUUACACAGGAAAAUCAAGGUAUGUAGCAGGGUGUAUAUCGGUGUGUUGGAGCCCGGACGAACUGGCAAAUGGCUCGUGCGUCGGCAUAGGCUGCUGCCAAAACACCAUUACCAUGGGAUUAACAAGCUACCAUGCCGUAUUCUAUGAUGUCGACUACCUCAACAGUACGACUAGUUGGCACUUCAACCCAUGCGGCUACUCCAUGGUGGUGGAAGCGGAGAAUUUUGUUUUCAACUCAGUAUAUAACCACGACAAGGGCAUCGUUUUGGAGUUUGCUCCAGUUGAAGGGAGCAGCGACGCCGACAGCGCAUGCCCGGUGGUGCAACUGCUGAUGAAAAUCGCGCCGACUAUGGUCAUGGCGGACAUUGGCGGCGUCUUUGAUGUCGUUUCCUUGUCGGGGCAUCGUCGUUGCAGUUUGCGUGACCAGGUUCGGGAUGCUCUGGGGGAAACCCUAGAGUUGGGUCUCCCGGAUCGGACGAUGACGGCGUUCUUAGUAUCGCUUCUCCUCCUGGGGGCAUCGUUUUGGAGCAAGUGA
rnacentral:rRNA from 1 species